GACAGAGGGUGCAAACGUUGCUCGGAAUCACUGGGCGUAAAGGGCGUGUAGGCGGGAAGGAAAGUCGGGCGUGAAAUCCCUGGCUCACCCAGGAACUGCACUCGAAACUUCUUUUCUUGAGUGCCGGAGAGGAAAGCGGAAUUCCUGGUGUAGAGGUGAAAUUCGUAGAUAUCAGGAGGAACACCAGUGGCGAAGGCGGCUUUCUGG
rnacentral:rRNA from 1 species